AGUGAACGCUGGCGGCAGGCCUAAUACAUGCAAGUCGAACGGCAGCACAGCAGAGCUUGCUCUGUGGGUGGCGAGUGGCGGACGGGUGAGGAAUACGUGGGAAUCUGCCCAGUCGUGGGGGAUAACGUAGGGAAACUUACGCUAAUACCGCAUGCGCCCUUCGGGGGAAAGCCGGGGACCUUCGGGCCUGGCGCGAUUGGAUGAGCCCACGUCGGAUUAGCUAGUUGGCGGGGUAAAGGCCCACCAAGGCGACGAUCCGUAGCUGGUCUGAGAGGAUGAUCAGCCACACUGGAACUGAGACACGGUCCAGACUCCUACGGGAGGCAGCAGUAGGGAAUAUUGGACAAUGGGCGCAAGCCUGAUCCAGCCAUGCCGCGUGAGUGAAGAAGGCCCUCGGGUUGUAAAGCUCUUUUGUCCGGAAAGAAAAGCGCCGGGUUAAUACCCUGGUGUCCUGACGGUACCGGAAGAAUAAGCACCGGCUAACUACGUGCCAGCCGCCGCUGUAACAC
rnacentral:rRNA from 1 species